rnacentral:rRNA from 1 species
GAUGAACGCUGGCGGCGUGCCUAAUACAUGCAAGUCGAGCGAACAGAUGAGGAGCUUGCUCCUCUGACGUUAUCGGCGGACGGGAUAGUAACACGUGGAUAACCUACCUAUAAGACUGGGAUAACUUCGGGAAACCGGAGCUAAUACCGGAUAAUAUAUUGAAGCACAUUGUUCAAUAGUGAAAUACGGUUUUGCUGUCACUUAUAGAUGAAUACGCGCCGCAUUAGUAAGUUGGUAAGGUAACGGCUUACCAAGGCAACGAUGCGUAGCCGACCUGAGAGGGAGAUCGGCCAGCCUGGAAAUGAGACAGGGCCCAGACUCCGACGGUAGGACGCAGUCGGGAAUCUUCCGCGAUGGGGGAGAGCCUGAUGGAGCAACGCCGCGGGAGUGAUGAAGGUCUCCGGAUGGGAAAGCUAUGUUAUUAGUGGAGAUCAAAUGUGCAAGUAACUAUGACCAUCUUGACGGUACCUAAUCAGAAAGCCACGGCUAACUACGUG